UCUUCCUGUUCAAUGUAGAAGGAGCUCAACGUGUGUGUCUCGUCUUUUCUAUAUCGCAGAUGCAGGGGUACCAUUGUCAGCGAAGAGGAGAUGACAAGAUUAAUCCGAAUGAAUGAAAGCGGCAGGAAGUGAUGUCACCAGCGAUAAGCCUUACAAAGAACACCAUCAGACACAGAGAGCUACAUAAUUUGUGUCUCCAUCUUUAGAAAUGACUGUCUUCUUUUCCUUUUCUCUUUUUUUGUCCCCACUCUGUUCCCGUAGCGCCUCUUAUCUCUCGACAAUAAUUAAACCCUCGAGGGAGUAUUUUAUGAUGGACAUAUAAACCUAUUUAAAAUGGAAUUAAAGAUGCUAUCGUACA